rnacentral:tRNA from 1 species
GGUCCUAUGGGGUAGUGGUUAUCCCACCGGAUUUUGAUGAACAAUAUACAUGUCCUGUAUAUGUGUAGGAAGAACGAAGCUUCCGGUAACGCCGGUUCGAAUCCGGCUAGGACCU